rnacentral:lncRNA from 1 species
UUGGGUAAGAGUUUCUCGUGGCACCAAGGCAACAACCUUCUCGGGUGUCAGAUUCACAAACACUUUCUUCUUUCUGAUGCUCAGCGAAGCUACAGCCCUUUCCAGUUCCUCAGGAGCAAUCGGAACUAUUGCCUUCGUCACGCACCAGUCAUCAUCUGUCUCUAUCAUAUUGAUAGUGGUGCCUCCAUGAUCUGGCAAAGGAUUACUAUUGACAUUGGGCACGACUGUCUGAAGAGAGACCACAUUCUGG